rnacentral:rRNA from 1 species
UACGUAGGGUGCAAGCGUUGUCCGGAAUUAUUGGGCGUAAAGAGCUCGUAGGCGGCCUGUCGCGUCGGCUGUGAAAACUCAGGGCUCAACCCUGAGCCUGCAGUCGAUACGGGCAGGCUAGAGUCCGGCAGGGGAGACUGGAAUUCCUGGUGUAGCGGUGAAAUGCGCAGAUAUCAGGAGGAACACCGGCGGCGAAGGCGGGUCUCUGGGCCAUAACUGACGCUGAGGAGCGAAAGCGUGGGGAGCGAACAGG